UAUGUGCUUAAAGGGCCUGAAUAGAAAAUGUAUUGGGCCUUGCAUCUCUAAACCUAAAGUUGUCUCUCUUUUGGUCUCGAAGUCAAGGUUCUCACCGUCGUCCUAUCAUGGUCAUGCUACCGCCAUGGAUUAACAGUCGUGUUCUGUUAGUCGAUUGAGUACCGGCGUACCCUAAUUGAACGCAAACCGGUAUCUUAUUGAAUUCUCACUACUGCCGUCAGAAAAAUUUGGAUAUGUUACAGCAAGUCGGUUGAAUUCACGCCAUCAUUAACAACAACUUUCCACUUUUCAACACGAUCUUUCAUUGAAUGCAUCCCCAUUACUUCUAUUGCGUGAAUCUUCAAGUAUAAAUAGGUAACUCUUUCAUCAGUUCAAUCCAAUCCUCUCAGAAGCAUGCUAUCUAGAUCCGCUCUAUAUCCACAAAGAAGCCACACAGCUUACUUCGUAGUCACCAACUCCCACCUACUCAGCCUCCCACAGUUUGAUUUCUCUUCAGCUCUGCGGUUAAAUUUAGCAAAUGUCAUAUGACAAGCGGAUAGCACGGUUUCUCAGCUUAAAGCUAUUUCAGAGCAACUUGCUUCAGCCAAGCAUUUGGGGGUUGUUCAGGUGUCUCUACCUGCAAAUGUCCAAACUGAAAUCGAGCAGAUUGGAGAGAUACUGAAUUCUUCUAUAGCUGCCAUCACUAAUAGCUCCAAUGACAUAAGAGACGAUCUCAAUUCCGUAAGGGUGGCGCUUAUCACAGUUUCAAUCCUUAUGCUUACCUCUUUACAAUUCUUGGUCUCGUUUCUUCAAUUUUUGGGAUACAUCUCAUUGUCUACACGAACAAUGACCCUGGAAUGUUCUUUGUGUACUUUUUAUAAGUAAGAACUAUUUGAAUCUUUUCCUCUUCCGCAGCCGUAUGAUUCUUGGAUGGAGUUUGGUGACUGAUGAUUCUGGUGCAUUCAUCUUGAGCGGAGCAUUCCUUCUGUUACAAAAAUAUGUCUCAUGAUUCUUCAUAAACUUCUUCUUUAUCGUUCAAAAAUUUUAAUGUGUUUGUUUGAGCAUUAGUGAAACUGCAGGCAGAUGUAUAGCAAUGAGUGCAUCAGUAGAAAGGCCCGUAAGCAACACUCCUCUAGACGAGAUCUUGCCUUGCACAGACAAUGUUAUAGCUGAGAAAAUAACUGAAGUGCUUAUAAAUUUGGAAACAUGACCAUGCAUCCUCUGCACACGUGACCUGCAAGCCUUUUAAAAUAUGUUAACAGAUCACUUCUUCUCUAAUUCAAACUGUGCUUACAAAAAAAUUCAACAGUAUUAUAUACAGUAAAUCAGUUUAGUGGGAUACAAAAAAAAUUCCACCAGUUUCAGAUUUUCUAUUUUGAAAUAAUUUUAGUUAAAAUGAAUAAGUUAUUUCUUUUGCA